UCUUGUUUAUACAGACAGUGAUAUUCUAAACAAGAAAAUAUCUGGUUUACAGAGGGUCCAGUUUAGAGAGGUUUUACUGUAAUAUAUACAAUUUUUGGAAGGUAACAUCUGGUUUGGGCUACUACAUGUACAAAGAUUAGAAUGACAACAAGCAUCUUGUUUAUACAGACAGUGAUAUUCUAAACAAGAAAAUAUCUGGUUUACAGAGGGUCCAGUUUAGAGAGGUUUUACUGUAAUAUAUACAAUUUUUGGAAGGUAACAUCUGGUUUGGGCUACUACAUGUACAAAGAUUAGAAUGACAACAGACAUCUUGUUUAUACAGACAGUGAUAUUCUAAACAAGAAAAUAUCUGGUUUACAGAGGGUCCAGUUUAGAGAGGUUUUACUGUAAUAUAUACAAUUUUUGGAAGGUAACAUAUGGUUUGGGCUACUACAUGUACAAAGAUUAGAAUGACAACAGACAUCUUGUUUAUACAGACUGAUAUUCUAAACAAGAAAAUAUCUGGUUUACAGAGGGUCCAGUUUAGAGAGGUUUUACUGUAAUAUAUACAAUUUUUGGAAGGUAACAUCUGGUUUGGGCUACUACAUGUACAAAGAUUAGAAUGACAACAGACAUCUUGUUUAUACAGACAGUGAUAUUCUAAACAAGAAAAUAUCUGGUUUACAGAGGGUCCAGUUUAGAGAGGUUUUACUGUAAUAUAUACAAUUUUUGGAAGGUAACAUCUGGUUUGGGCUACUACAUGUACAAAGAUUAGAAUGACAACAGACAUCUUGUUUAUACAGACAGUGAUAUUCUAAACAAGAAAAUAUCUGGUUUACAGAGGGUCCAGUUUAGAGAGGUUUUACUGUAAUAUAUACAAUUUUUGGAAGGUAACAUAUGGUUUGGGCUACUACAUGUACAAAGAUUAGAAUGACAACAGACAUCUUGUUUAUACAGACAGUGAUAUUCUAAACAAGAAAAUAUCUGGUUUACAGAGGGUCCAGUUUAGAGAGGUUUUACUGUAAUAUAUACAAUUUUUGGAAGGUAACAUCUGGUUUGGGCUACUACAUGUACAAAGAUUAGAAUGACAACAGACAUCUUGUUUAUACAGACAGUGAUAUUCUAAACAAGAAAAUAUCUGGUUUACAGAGGGUCCAGUUUAGAGAGGUUUUACUGUAAUAUAUACAAUUUUUGGAAGGUAACAUCUGGGCUACUACAUGUACAAAGAUUAGAAUGACAACAGACAUCUUGUUUAUACAGACAGUGAUAUUCUAAACAAGAAAAUAUCUGGUUUACAGAGGGUCCAGUUUAGAGAGGUUUUACUGUAAUAUAUACAAUUUUUGGAAGGUAACAUCUGGUUUGGGCUACUACAGGUACAAAGAUUAGAAUGACAACAGACAUCUUGUUUAUACAGACAGUGAUAUUCUAAACAAGAAAAUAUCUGGUUUACAGAGGGUCCAGUUUAGAGAGGUUUUACUGUAAUAUAUACAAUUUUUGGAAGGUAACAUCUGGUUUGGGCUACUACAUGUACAAAGAUUAGAAUGACAACAGACAUCUUGUUUAUACAGACAGUGAUAUUCUAAACAAGAAAAUAUCUGGUUUACAGAGGGUCCAGUUUAGAGAGGUUUUACUGUAAUAUAUACAAUUUUUGGAAGGUAACAUCUGGUUUGGGCUACUACAGGUACAAAGAUUAGAAUGACAACAGACAUCUUGUUUAUACAGACAGUGAUAUUCUAAACAAGAAAAUAUCUGGUUUACAGAGGGUCCAGUUUAGAGAGGUUUUACUGUAAUAUAUACAAUUUUUGGAAGGUAACAUCUGGGCUACUACAUGUACAAAGAUUAGAAUGACAACAGACAUCUUUUAUACAGACAGUGAUAUUCUAAACAAGAAAAUAUCUGGUUUACAGAGGGUCCAGUUUAGAGAGGUUUUACUGUAAUAUAUACAAUUUUUGGAAGGUAACAUCUGGUUUGGGCUACUACAUGUACAAAGAUUAGAAUGACAACAGACAUCUUGUUUAUACAGACAGUGAUAUUCUAAACAAGAAAAUAUCUGGUUUACAGAGGGUCCAGUUUAGAGAGGUUUUACUGUAAUAUAUACAAUUUUUGGAAGGUAACAUCUGGGCUACUACAUGUACAAAGAUUAGAAUGACAACAGACAUCUUGUUUAUACAGACAGUGAUAUUCUAAACAAGAAAAUAUCUGGUUUACAGAGGGUCCAGUUUAGAGAGGUUUUACUGUAAUAUAUACAAUUUUUGGAAGGUAACAUCUGGGCUACUACAUGUACAAAGAUUAGAAUGACAACAGACAUCUUGUUUAUACAGACAGUGAUAUUCUAAACAAGAAAAUAUCUGGUUUACAGAGGGUCCAGUUUAGAGAGGUUUUACUGUAAUAUAUACAAUUUUUGGAAGGUAACAUCUGGUUUGGGCUACUACAUGUACAAAGAUUAGAAUGACAACAGACAUCUUGUUUAUACAGACAGUGAUAUUCUAAACAAGAAAAUAUCUGGUUUACAGAGGGUCCAGUUUAGAGAGGUUUUACUGUAAUAUAUACAAUUUUUGGAAGGUAACAUCUGGUUUGGGCUACUACAUGUACAAAGAUUAGAAUGACAACAGACAUCUUGUUUAUACAGACAGUGAUAUUCUAAACAAGAAAAUAUCUGGUUUACAGAGGGUCCAGUUUAGAGAGGUUUUACUGUAAUAUAUACAAUUUUUGGAAGGUAACAUAUGGUUUGGGCUACUACAUGUACAAAGAUUAGAAUGACAACAGACAUCUUGUUUAUACAGACAGUGAUAUUCUAAACAAGAAAAUAUCUGGUUUACAGAGGGUCCAGUUUAGAGAGGUUUUACUGUAAUAUAUACAAUUUUUGGAAGGUAACAUCUGGUUUGGGCUACUACAUGUACAAAGAUUAGAAUGACAACAGACAUCUUGUUUAUACAGACAGUGAUAUUCUAAACAAGAAAAUAUCUGGUUUACAGAGGGUCCAGUUUAGAGAGGUUUUACUGUAAUAUAUACAAUUUUUGGAAGGUAACAUCUGGUUUGGGCUACUACAUGUACAAAGAUUAGAAUGACAACAGACAUCUUGUUUAUACAGACAGUGAUAUUCUAAACAAGAAAAUAUCUGGUUUACAGAGGGUCCAGUUUAGAGAGGUUUUACUGUAAUAUAUACAAUUUUUGGAAGGUAACAUCUGGUUUGGGCUACUACAUGUACAAAGAUUAGAAUGACAACAGACAUCUUGUUUAUACAGACAGUGAUAUUCUAAACAAGAAAAUAUCUGGUUUACAGAGGGUCCAGUUUAGAGAGGUUUUACUGUAAUAUAUACAAUUUUUGGAAGGUAACAUCUGGUUUGGGCUACUACAUGUACAAAGAUUAGAAUGACAACAAACAUCUUGUUUAUACAGACAGUGAUAUUCUAAACAAGAAAAUAUCUUUAAUAUGUAAUUUUAAAGAUCUGUAUGUCAUACACAUGUUACAGUGACAGCAAACUCGGGAUAGUGCAUAUACGUUGUAUUUUAACAACUCAAAAAAGUGUUUAUUGUACUUGGGCAUGUACCUUUACAUGUGACUUAAUUUACAUGUGACUUUACAUGUGACUUAAUUUACAUGUGACUUUACAUGUGACUUAAUUUACAUGUGACUUUACAUGUGACUUAAUUUACAUGUGACUUUACAUGUGACUUAAUUUACAUGUGACUUUACAUGUGACUUAAUUUACAUGUGACUUUUUAUAUGUGUUUUAACAGGGCUAGCUCUGCCACUCGCCAAAUUCACCAAUUGUGAAUUUUAAAAACAGUUAGAAAAUUGUAUUUUACUGUAGUGUGAAAAAAAAAUGGUGUAAUAACUGAUAUUUUGUUGAAAAAUACAUUGUAGCUAUCAGGAGUGGGAAUUCUCCUCAGAUUUGUGGUUUUCCUCUCAAGGAACAUUGUGUUUCCUCGCAUCUUAAACAUCCUUUCCGCUGGGGGGGGGGGGGGGGGGGGGGGGGGGGGAAUCGGUCAUGUAAACUUCUGGGCCCAGAUUUUCAAAGCUAUCUUAGCACUAUGAUAUCGUAAAACUGUCCUAAAUGAUGACGUUACACAUCAGAUUAUGUUGUGACGCAAUUAUUAAUCUAAAUGCUGCCGCGUUUCUUACUUGGUUUCAUUUGCAAAGGUUGCAAGUAAACUUUAGCCGGGGUCGCGAUGCAGCGUGGGAUAUCUGCCCCCAGACCCCUCUAGAUUUCCUCUUCUUUUUUUUGACAGUUCACCAAUUCCCACCCCGAGCUAUAGAUUUUGCUUUUUUGGUUAGAAACUCGGCAAAAUGUUCUGAUGAUCCAGAGCUAGUCGUGUAAUUAUAGUGCUCACUUUUGAAUUACAUUGAAUGCUGUUGUUUUGUUUUCACUCUGUGGAUUUAGAGGUUUUAUUGUUUGCUAGAAUAAAUAAAAAAAUAAUAUCGUA
rnacentral:lncRNA from 1 species